CGGGAAACCGGGGCUAAUACCGGAUGCUUGAUUGAACCGCAUGGUUCAAUUAUAAAAGGUGGCUUUUAGCUACCACUUACAGAUGGACCCGCGGCGCAUUAGCUAGUUGGUGAGGUAACGGCUCACCAAGGCAACGAUGCGUAGCCGACCUGAGAGGGUGAUCGGCCACACUGGGACUGAGACACGGCCCAGACUCCUACGGGAGGCAGCAGUAGGGAAUCUUCCGCAAUGGACGAAAGUCUGACGGAGCAACGCCGCGUGAGUGAUGAAGGUUUUCGGAUCGUAAAACUCUGUUGUUAGGGAAGAACAAGUACCGUUCGAAUAGGGCGGUACCUUGACGGUACCUAACCAGAAAGCCACGGCUAACUACGUGCCAGCAGCCGCGGUAAUACGUAGGUGGCAAGCGUUGUCCGGAAUUAUUGGGCGUAAAGCGCGCGCAGGCGGUUUCUUAAGUCUGAUGUGAAAGCCCCCGGCUCAACCGGGGAGGGUCAUUGGAAACUGGGGAACUUGAGUGCAGAAGAGGAGAGUGGAAUUCCACGUGUAGCGGUGAAAUGCGUAGAGAUGUGGAGGAACACCAGUGGCGAAGGCGACUCUCUGGUCUGUAACUGACGCUGAGG
rnacentral:rRNA from 1 species